UCCCGGGUGAAGAGGUGUACUGAUGAAGGACGAGCUCUUAUGUCAUUAGAUCUUCAGGUAUUGAUAAAUGGCUUGAAGCAUUUCAUUUCUGUAGACGUGAGACCUAAACUACAGAUAGUUGAAACAUUCAUCAAGGCCUACUAUCUUCCAGAAACCGAAUUUGUGCACUGGUCACGUGCUCAUCCGGAAUACAGUAAAAGUCAAAUUGUUGGUCUAAUCAACCUAGUCUCUACAAUGAAAGGCUG
rnacentral:misc_RNA from 1 species